rnacentral:rRNA from 1 species
CCCUUAGAUGUCCUGGGCCGCACGCGCGCUACACUGACGGAGCCAGCGAGCUUACCCCUUUGCCGAAAGGCAUGGGAAAUCUUUUGAAUCUCCGUCGUGCUGGGGAUAGAUCAUUGCAAUUAUUGAUCUUGAACGAGGAAUUCCUAGUAAGCGCAAGUCAUCAACUUGCGUUGAUUACGUCCCUGCCCUUUGUACACACCGCCCGUCGCUCCUACCGAUUGAAUGCUCAGGUGAGCCAUUCGGACCUUCAUCAUGCCGGUUUCCGGUUUUGAUGAGGGAAAGUCUUGCGAACCUUAUCAUUUAGAGGAAGGAGAAGUCGUAACA